AUUGAACGCUGGCGGCAGGCCUAACACAUGCAAGUCGAAUGGUAACAGGAAACAGCUUGCUGUUUCGCUGACGAGUGGCGGACGGGUGAGUAAUGUCUGGGAAACUGCCUGAUGGAGGGGGAUAACUACUGGAAACGGUAGCUAAUACCGCAUAACGUCGCAAGACCAAAGAGGGGGACCUUCGGGCCUCUUGCCAUCAGAUGUGCCCAGAUGGGAUUAGCUAGUAGGUGGGGUAACGGCUCACCUAGGCGACGAUCCCUAGCUGGUCUGAGAGGAUGACCAGCCACACUGGAACUGAGACACGGUCCAGACUCCUACGGGAGGCAGCAGUGGGGAAUAUUGCACAAUGGGCGCAAGCCUGAUGCAGCCAUGCCGCGUGUAUGAAGAAGGCCUUCGGGUUGUAAAGUACUUUCAGCGGUGAGGAAGGGAGUAAAGUUAAUACCUUUGCUCAUUGACGUUACCCGCAGAAGAAGCACCGGCUAACUCCGUG
rnacentral:rRNA from 1 species